rnacentral:lncRNA from 1 species
AUGGCUCCUGCUACGGCCAUGCUCACUAUUGCUUCCUGUUUGAUCCAACCAAAGAAAUGAGGUAAAUUUUAUUAUUCCCUCCAAUCAUUAUCCUUUCAUUCGAGCAAUUGAGAGAUGAUUUUUGAGUAAACCUGCAGCACGGUUUUCCUAUCAACAGAGGUGAAGUCAUCUCUGAUAUACAGAAGAGCCCCUGAUAUCACCCCUGCACAGCCAUCCCAAAAUUCAACACGAAUUUCAUAAAUGCAUGACACAACACAACACAUCUCUCUCUCUCUC